rnacentral:rRNA from 1 species
AUUGAACGCUGGCGGCAGGCCUAACACAUGCAAGUCGAACGAGUGGCGGACGGGUGAGUAAUGUCUGGGAAACUGCCCGAUGGAGGGGGAUAACUACUGGAAACGGUAGCUAAUACCGCAUACCAUCGGAUGUGCCCAGAGGGGAUUAGCUUGUAGGUGAGGUAACGGCUCACCUAGGCGACGAUCCCUAGCUGGUCUGAGAGGAUGACCAGACACACGGGAACGGAGACACGGUCCAGACUCCUACGGGAGGCAGCAGGGGGGAAUAUUGCACAAUGGGCGCAAUCCGGAUGCAGCCAUGCCGCGUGGAUGAAGAAGGCCUUCGGGUUGGAAAGUACUUUCAGCGGGGAGGCGUUACCCGCAGAAGAAUCACCGGCUAACUCCGUGCCAGAAGCCGCGGUAAUAC